rnacentral:rRNA from 1 species
ACGGAAGGCAGCAGUAGGGAAUCUUCCACAAUGGACGAAAGUCUGAUGGAGCAACGCCGCGUGAGUGAUGAAGGAUUUCGGUUCGUAAAACUCUGUUGCAAGGGAAGAACAAGUAGUGUAGUAACUGGCACUACCUUGACGGUACCUUGUUAGAAAGCCACGGCUAACUACGUGCCAGCAGCCGCGGUAAUACGUAGGUGGCAAGCGUUGUCCGGAAUUAUUGGGCGUAAAGCGCGCGCAGGUGGUUUCUUAAGUCUGAUGUGAAAGCCCCCGGCUCAACCGGGGAGGGUCAUUGGAAACUGGGAGACUUGAGUGCAGAAGAGGAAAGUGGAAUUCCAAGUGUAGCGGUGAAAUGCGUAGAGAUUUGGAGGAACACCAGUGGCGAAGGCGACUUUCUGGUCUGUAACUGACACUGAGGCGCGAAAGCGUGGGGAGCAAACAGGAUUAGAUACCCUGGUA